GACGGAGGAUGCAAGUGUUAUCCGGAAUCACUGGGCGUAAAGCGUCUGUAGGUGGUUUAAUAAGUCAACUGUUAAAUCUUGAGGCUCAACCUCAAAAUCGCAGUCGAAACUAUUAGGCUAGAGUAUAGUAGGGGUAAAGGGAAUUUCCAGUGGAGCGGUGAAAUGCGUAGAUAUCAGGAGGAACACCGGUGGUGUAAACGGCUUUCUGGACCAUAACUGACGCUGAGGCACGAAAGCGUGGGGAGCAAACAGG
rnacentral:rRNA from 1 species